rnacentral:rRNA from 1 species
GACGAACGCUGGCGGCGUGCCUAAUACAUGCAAGUCGAGCGGACAGAAGGGAGCUUGCUCCCGGAAGUUAGCGGCGGACGGGUGAGUAACACGUGGGCAACCUACCCUGUAGAUCGGGAUAACAUCGAGAAAUCGGUGCUAAUACCGGAUAAUCAUUUGAAGUGCAUGCUUCGAAUGUAAAAGAUGGCUCCGGCUAUCACUACGGGAUGGGCCCGCGGCGCAUUAGCUAGUUGGUAAGGUAAUGGCUUACCAAGGCAACGAUGCGUAGCCGGACUGAGAGGGUGAUCGGCCACAAGGGGACGGAGACACGGCCCAGACUCCUACGGGAGGCAGCAGUAGGGAAUCUUCCGCAAUGGACGAAAGUCUGACGGAGCAACGCCGGGUGAGUGAUGAAGGUUUUCGGAUCGUAAAGCUCUGUUGUUAGGGAAGAACAAGUGCCGUUUGAAUAAGGCGGCACCUUGACGGUACCUAACCAGAAAGCCACGGCUAACUACGUGCCAGCCGCCGCCGUAAGAC